AGAAAGAAGGAAGGAGGAAGAAAAGAAGGGAGGAAGAGAGGAAGGAAGAAAGGGAUUUGAAGAGAAUUCUUGGUUCUGGGCCCGGCUCCACCCACGGUUCCCCUUGGUCUUCCAGUCUCGUUGGGUUCCUGCCAAAGCCCAUAUGUACAAGGCCCACAAGUCCUUCUACAGUUUCAUUAUUUUAUAACGUUCUCCGGGGGUUUUCGGGGUCCAUUGCUGCUAUCCACCCCAAGCAUGUUCUCCCGGCAGCCUGACGACAUUGGAGACAACUUCAAGGAAGAAAAUUUCAGGAAAGAAAAAAAAAAAUUGGAUCACAAAUCUUACAAAUUGUAUUGAAUGUUGAAAACUACCUUUCUGUGUGUUUGGAAAAAUAAAGA